UACGUAGGGGGCAAGCGUUGUCCGGAAUCAUUGGGCGUAAAGCGCGUGUAGGCGGUCAGAAAAGUCCGCUGUGAAAACUCGAGGCUCAACUUCGAGCUGUCGGUGGAAACUUUCUGGCUAGAGUCCGGAAGAGGAGAAUGGAAUUCCUGGUGUAGCGGCGAAAUGCGCAGAUAUCAGGAAGAACACCCGUGGCGAAGGCGGUUCUCUGGGACGGUACUGACGCUGAGACGCGAAAGCGUGGGGAGCGAACAGG
rnacentral:rRNA from 1 species